AGCGAACGUUAGCGGCAGGCCUAACACAUGCAAGUCGAGCGAGAAAGAGGUCUUCGGCUCCGAGUAAAGCGGCGGACGGGUGCGUAACACGUGGAUAAUCUGCCCUUCAGUGGGGAAUAACGUUCCGAAAGGAACGCUAAUGCCGCAUGUCACAGCGAGGCCUCCGGGUCACGUUGGAAAAGGGACGCCCGCAAGGGGUUCUCGCUGGAGGAUGAGUCCGCGGCCCAUCAGCUAGNGGCGGG
rnacentral:rRNA from 1 species